rnacentral:rRNA from 1 species
AUUGAACGCUGGCGGCAUGCCUUACGCAUGCAAGUCGAACGGUAACAGGUCUUCGGAUGCUGACGAGUGGCGAACGGGUGAGUAAUGCAUCGGAACGUGCCCAGUAGUGGGGGAUAGCCCGGCGAAAGCCGGAUUAAUACCGCAUACGACCGGAGGGUGAAAGGGGGGGGAGCACAAGACCUCUCGCUAUUGGAGCGGCCGAUGUCAGAUUAGCUAGUUGGUGGGGUAAAGGCCUACCAAGGCAACGAGGUGUAGUUGGUUUGAGAGGACGACCAGCCACACUGGGACUGAGACACGGCCCAGACUCCUACGGGAGGCAGCAGUGGGGGAUUUUGGACAAUGGGCGCAAGCCUGAUCCAGCAAUGCCGCGUGCACGAAGAAGGCCUUCGGGUUGUAAACUGCUUUUGUCAGGGAAGAAAUCUUCUGGGUUAAUACCUUGGGAGGAUGACGGUACCUGAAGAAUAAGCACCGGCUAACUACGUGCCAGCAGCCGCCGUAACAC